UACGUAGGGUGCGAGCGUUAAUCGGAAUUACUGGGCGUAAAGCGUGCGCAGGCGGUUCGUUAUGUCCGAUGUGAAAGCCCCGAGCUUAACUUGGGAAUGGCAUUGGAAACUGGCGGGCUGGAGUGCGGCAGAGGGGGGUGGAAUUCCACGUGUAGCAGUGAAAUGCGUAGAGAUGUGGAGGAACACCGAUGGCGAAGGCAGCCCCCUGGGCCGGAACUGACGCUGAGGAGCGAAAGCGUGGGGAGCGAACAGG
rnacentral:rRNA from 1 species